UAGGGAAUCUUCGGCAAUGGGGGGAACCCUGACCAAGCAACGCCGCGUGAGUUAAGAAGGUUUUCGGAUCGUAAAGCUCUGUUGUUAAGGAAGAACGAGUGUGAGAAUGGAAAGUUCAUACUGUGACGGUACUUAACCAGAAAGGGACGGCUAACUACGUGCCAGCAGCCGCGGUAAUACGUAGGUCCCGAGCGUUGUCCGGAUUUAUUGGGCGUAAAGCGAGCGCAGGCGGUUAGAUAAGUCUGAAGUUAAAGGCAGUGGCUCAACCAUUGUAGGCUUUGGAAACUGUUUAACUUGAGUGCAGAAGGGGGGAGUGGAAUUCCAUGUGUAGCGGUGAAAUGCGUAGAUAUAUGGAGGAACACCGGUGGCGAGAGCGGCUCUCUGGUCUGUAACUGACGCUGAGGCUCGAAAGCGUGGGGAGCGAACAGG
rnacentral:rRNA from 1 species